rnacentral:rRNA from 1 species
AUUCCCUUAGUAAGGGCGACUGAAAUGGGAAGAGCUCAAAAUGUAAAUCUGUGUAACCCUAUGAGGUGCGCCGAAUUGUGGUCUAUAGAAGUAAUGUCGGCCGUGUUCCUGGGCCAAGUCUCUUGGAAAAGGGCAGCUGAGAGGGUGAAACUCCCGUUCUUGCCUGGGGACACUGUGCCUUUGCAUAUGCUUUCAAAGAGUCGAGUUGCUUGGGAUUGCAGCUCAAAGUGGGUGGUAAAUUCCAUCUAAAGCUAAAUACUAGUGAGAUACCAAUAGCGUACAAGUACCGUGAGGGAAAGAUGCAAAGAACUUUGAAAAGAGAGUUAAAGAGUACCUGAAAUUGUUGAAAGGGAAGCGAAGGAAACCAGUGCCAAAGUGAUGUCAUAUUUCUCCUGCUGCUUGCGGUUGGGGCGCUGUGGCAUUGCGCCGGGUCAGCAUCGGCUCUUUGCUUAGGGUAGAUAAGCAGAUGGUAGGUAAUCUCUCACGGGAUGAUUGUCAUUUGUUAUUGCUCCGGGUUGGGCUGAGGCCAGUCACUCUGUGCUCGUAAUGCUGGG